AGCUUGUCAGAGCCCUGGAACGAGUUUUCAGUUAAAAUAACUUUUAAGUGUACAUCAUUAGAAAAGUGAGCAUGAUCCAUUUUGUUCAGUUGUUUGAAAAGGGCCAAUGAAGUUUUCUUUCUACAUUGAUUACUACUUUUAUCUCGGCUCAAGUUUUGCUGUUUUUUUUUUUUUUUUUUUUUUUUUGUAAAUUCAGAGUUGUUUCUUUUAAAUCUUCUUGGAUAGGUACAAGAUCUACAGUAUAUAUUUUCAAGCAAAGAGUUAAAAAAAGCAAAUUGGUAGUGCACCAUGUUUGAAUUACUCAUUACUUGUUACAAAACUUCUGUGUCUGUGAGGAUGAAAAAACAAAGUUAAAGGAAUUACUCAGUGAAAGAUGGGCGCUUUUUUGCGAUGGUGACCAACAAUCAGACUGGCUUAAGACAAUAUUACAGAACCAGUACAGCUACAACAAGUCUUGUGACCAUGUAUUUGAUAAUUCUUUCUUCGCUUGUGUGCACGGGGAUCCGGCGGCUUAUACAAAUGCAACAUCUCUGACGGAUAUUUCUGAGGUGUACAGAGAAGCUAUCUCAGGCAUUUUCAAAUGUGUAAUUGGUGAGCUGUUUAGCCAUGUGGAUUAUGUCAGACAAUGUGGAUCUUCGUGGCAGGAUAUCUUACUUACAGGCUGGUUAAAGUUUUCUGCUUCAUACGGUGUUGCAGUUCAAAUCAGCGAAGACGAAGUUGAUCAAUUGAAAGUGAUGAGAUGCGAGUAAGAACUACGAGUAAUUUCUACUGAAAUACCACCAUAGACCUCAUUUUUGACAGUCAACACACGUCACAUCAGAUUGUGGAAUAUUUUGCAGAAUAUAUCUAUUAUACUAUUCAAUAUAGUAAAAUAGUGCAUCGUAACGUCA